GCGCUGCUGGGGAGUCCCAUACCAGGACGAAACGGCCGUCCAGUGC
rnacentral:hammerhead_ribozyme from 1 species